rnacentral:tRNA from 1 species
GGGGAGGUGCCAGAGUGGCUGAAUGGGCUCGCCUGCUAAGUGAGUGCUGGCUUUAAAACCAGUCGCGGGUUCGAAUCCCGCCCUCUCCG